CCGUCCUUCACUUCUAGAGGCACGUACCGGCUUCUGUUUCGACGACAGAAGGAUGGGGACAUCUUGAGAUGUUUUCUGCCUCAAACAUGCUGUCAGGACUGUUUUCUGCUGCUGCCUGCCACUCUCUGAAGCAGAUUUCCACACAUCAGAGAACUUAUUGGCCUUCAGAGAGCAUUAAAUGGCUACUUGGAACUGUUGUGUUGAGGAGGGCUCACAGAUGGACCACGGCACCAUCAUCCAGGCUAAAGCAGAAGCCAGUAUUUUCCAGAGCACCAGCAUUUGGAGACAAGCUUGCUAUCAUAGACGGCAGUGGCAGCCACAGCUACAAGCAACUCUACAAUAGCAGUGUAGCGCUUGCAGACAAAAUCAGCGCUGCUCUCAAGUCUGACGUGGGGGAUGUGAAAGGACAAAGAAUCUCCUUCCUUUGUGCCAAUGAUGCCUCCUACACAGUGGCACAGUGGGCAGCGUGGAUGAGUGGUGGAACAGCGGUGCCCCUAUACCGGAAACACCCACCAUCUGAACUGGAGUACAUCAUCUCUGACUCACAGAGUUCACUACUGGUAGCAGGUCAUCCCUUUGCUGAAACCCUAGAGCCACUAGCACAGAAGUUGGGGCUCCCAUGCCUCACUCUUCCACCUACUUCUGAUCUGAGUUCUUUGAAUGGAACACAGACCAAAGAGAAGGAGGCAGAAAUCACAGACUGGGACGAGAGGCCAGCGAUGAUCAUCUACACCAGUGGGACAACAGGAAGGCCUAAAGGAGUUCUCCAUACUCACAGCAGCAUCCACGCCAUGGUCCAGUGUUUGGUUUCAGAGUGGGCGUGGUCCAAAGAUGACGUCAUCCUCCACACUUUACCACUCCACCACGUGCACGGCAUUGUCAACAAGCUGCAGUGCCCACUCUGGGUGGGCGCCACCUGCAUCAUGCUGCCUGAAUUCCAGCCUGAGAAGGUAUGGGAAAUGCUGCUGAGCUCCAAGGCUCCUCUGGUUAAUGUGUUCAUGGCCGUGCCAACUAUCUACUCUAAACUGAUCCACUACUACGAUCAGCACUUCACAAGGCCUCAUGUCAAGGACUUUGUCAAUGCAGUCUGCAAAGAGAGGAUCAGGCUGAUGGUUUCAGGCUCAGCUGCCCUCCCACUGCCCACUCUGCAGCGCUGGGAGGAGAUUACAGGACACAUACUGCUGGAACGUUAUGGCAUGACGGAGAUCGGCAUGGCAUUGUCCAACCCUCUGAAAGGCUCACGUAUCCCAGGGGCUGUAGGUUUACCCCUCCCUGGUGUCCAAGUCCGGAUUGUUAUGAAUAAUACAAACACCACCAUUGUAGAGGGCAACUGCAGAGAGACUCAGGUUCGCCCAGGUCUGGAGGGAAAAGAAGGUGAACUCCUGGUCCGAGGUCCAUCUGUCUUUAAGGAGUACUGGAACAAACCUCAGGAGACCAGAGAGUGUUUCACUGAUGAUGGCUGGUUCAAAACAGGAGACACCGCGGUCUACAAAGAUGGCGUGUUCUGGAUCAUGGGUCGCACCAGCGUAGACAUCAUCAAGAGUGGUGGCUACAAGAUCAGCGCACUCGAGGUGGAGCGUCAUCUACUGGCACAUCCAGACAUUAUUGAUGUAGCUGUGAUCGGGGCCCCAGAUGCCAUCUGGGGACAGAAAGUCACAGCAGUGGUGCAGCUGAAGAAAGGGCAGAGUUUGACCUUGCCAGAGCUAAAGACCUGGGCAAGGGAGCACAUGGUGCCGUACACCAUCCCUACAGGCCUGGUUCUGGUGGAGGAGAUGCCGAGGAAUCAAAUGGGCAAGGUCAACAAGAAGGACCUUCUGCGACACUUUUUCCCAUGAGUUGACCACUUUCUUAGUUUCUUAGCUGCAGCAGGGUGUCACUUUCAAGCACUUCUAUGUGGAUUUAUGAAUCAGAAAAUGCAUCACAGCCAAGGGUACCAAACUACAAGGAGAAGGGCUCAUAGAUGUUGGUGUUAACUAAUCCUAAGGUCCCACAACAUUUUAAAUAAAUCAAAAUUUCUUUGAAACAGACACUCUUCAUUCACUCUUCCACCAGGUAUCAAGAUCAGUGCAGUAGUCUUUGUGUAAUCCUGCCAACAAACAUGGCAAACACUUCAUGGAAAAUGACUCAUCCUCUGAUGUAACAUAGUCACUACAUCAGCUACAAACAGAUGCACAAAGCUGUGCUUACACAGGUGUGAUGAGAGCCUGAAGGCGGAUUCUCUACCAAGGCACAACACCACAGCUGGAUGCCCCGCACUCCAUCUGACUAACCCUCUCGCUCUGCUCGCACUUCUCACCUCUCAUCCUUUCUCAUCUCCGUUUCUCAAAUACUUUGCCUCUUCUGUCUUCAUCACAAGUCAAAACAGAUUGCAGUGGCACCGGGACCAACUUGACUGUGAGACUUCUUUUGAAAGAGCCUUGGCGUGCUGCCAGAAUUGGCAGAGAGAGAGUGCAUGAAGAGAUGAAGAGAAAAGGCACAGACGAGAAAAAAUAUAAAGCAGGACUGUCAGAGAGAUUGGAGCCUUAACAGGAACUGGCUAAAAUGCGUUGAUUGUGGGAAGGGGGUAAAAGAGAUGAAGAUGUGAAAGAAAGAAAGUAUGGGGAUUUUGACCAAGUGGAAAGUAAAGAAUUAAAAAAUAAAGAACUGAAGUAAUGACUAAAAUACUGUUAUAACAAAUAAACAGUCAUGAUAAACAACUAGAGAACUGAAGAUGGAGAGAAACCCAAGUGGAACCCCCAGCCGAUACAACCUCCUGUCCACACACACACACACACACACCCGUCCGCCCACAGUCACCAGAGACCUGAUUAAGAGAGCAGAGCUAUCGAUCUGUGGGCUGGCAGGCUAGGAUGGAUGAGCAAGCAAGGCUGCAGGAACACCAGAGGACAGCUUCAGUGCCCCCAAACCCCCCCCCUCGCACCACCACCCCACCCAACCACCCACACCAGAGGUGGGAGAAGGCCAGGGCCACGGGCGUGAUGACCAGGUCUGCCACGCUGAGGCCGCAGUCAGCAGCAGAGGGUCAAACACACAAGUGAAGAAGAUAGAGCAUGUGAACAGUAAUGGGUGCACUGUGUUUGGUGUGAGUGUUCAGGACAGCCGUGGAGAGUGUACAGGUUCCAGCACUCACCUAAAGGGGGGAGAAGAACCUUGUAGAUAUUCCCCGGACUCCGUCUUGAUGGAGUACUCAUGCCCUUGAACUACCUCCACCUCCUCUUGCUGUCUCUCUCUCAAACACUUCUUGCCUGUGUUUGUUGGAGCAUGGUGGAAAAGGUUGUCUGCAGAUGGCUGCUUAUUGGGCCCCAGGGUCCUGGAGGGUGGGUUAUAGGGGACACCAGUGAGGUUGUUUAUGUGUUUCAGACAGAUAAAGCGUCUGGGUAGAAUGGCAAAGGUUUAAAAUAGCAGGUGAUAUACAAAGAGGGAGUGCAUUGUUGUGCUAUUUUAGUCUCUGUGUCCUUUUUACUCAUUUUUAUGUAGGCCUCCACGCAAAAUGAUAUUACUUGAUGUGUACUAAUGUGGCCUUUUUUUCAGAAUAUGAGCACAGGAAACAGCUGGCAUCACAAGCCAACAAAGAAUUGAGACAGUACUGCAUUACAUAAAGAUACUGUUAUACUGCAUGGAGAACACAGAUUGAAUGUCAUUUCAUUGAAUUGUGUAUUCAUUUACUCAAUUUCCACAAUUCAUAUCCCAGCAUACAUCAUGUUGAAGGAUGCAAGAAAGUUCACCUUUUCAUUAGAGGACAAAGGUGGUCAGUAGAGAUGCAACCAAAUGCACCAAAAACUUCUGGGUUAUGUCUGUGAACGUUUUGUUGGCUGUUUGAG